rnacentral:rRNA from 1 species
UUUAAAGUCUAGCCUGCCCAAUGAUUAUUAAUUGAAUGGCCGCGGUAUUUUGACCGUGCUAAGGUAGCAUAAUAAUUAGUUUUUUAAUUGAGAACUGGUAUGAAUGGCUGGACAAAGAAAAUUCUGUCUCAAGUUUAAUUUAAUUAGAAUUUUAUUUUUAAGUUAAAAAGCUUAAAUGAUUUUAAAAGACGAGAAGACCCUAUAGAGUUUUAUAUUAUUUAUUAUAAAUAAUUUAAGGAAUUAUAUAUUUUAUAUAUUAAAUAGUAUUUUGUUGGGGUGACAAAAAAAUUAAAUAAACUUUUUUUAUAUUUUAUCAUUAAUUUAUGAUUAAGUGAUCCAUUUUUUAUGAUUAUAAGAUUAAAUUACCUUAGGGAUAACAGCGUAAUUUUUUUUGAGAGUUCAUUAUCGAAAAGAAAGAUUGCGACCUCGAUGUUGGAUUAAAA